UACGGAGGGGGCUAGCGUUUGUUCGGAAUUACUGGGCGUAAAGCGCGCGUAGGCGGCUUUGCAAGUUAGAGGUGAAAGCCCGGAGCUUAACUCCGGAACUGCCUUUAAAACUGCAUCGCUAGAAUCAUGGAGAGGUGAGUGGAAUUCCGAGUGUAGAGGUGAAAUUCGUAGAUAUUCGGAAGAACACCAGUGGCGAGGCGACUCACUGGACAUGUAUUGACGCUGAGGUGCGAAAGC
rnacentral:rRNA from 1 species